GGCGAGAGGAAGUCGCGGUGUCACUAAGUCCCUUAGCCGCUGAGGCGGGGCCGGCUUCUGUCGCUGACCGGAGCGGGACUCCACCAGCCACGCUGGCUGCGAAUGGAGCCGAGGACUCGCGCGGAGGCGGGAUGCCCCCGGUCGGCGAUACGCCGGGAGCUCCGUGCUGCCCUGAAAGUGGCGCAGAAACGGAGAGCAUCGUGGAGGAGAGUGAGCCGGCUGCAUCCGCCGUAGCGCUUUGUGCCCGGGCGUCUCUCCCAAACUCAGCCUUCCAGGGUGACAUAAAUAAUGUAGCUCUUGUUGAAAGUGAACAGGUCAGUGAAAAUAUAGAUAAUAGUGAGCUUUCGGCCUACGUGUCUGCAUUCAUAGAAAAGGAAGUUGGAAAUGACCUUCAGUCUUUGAAGAAACUUGAUAAACUCAUAGAACAAAUGACAAAAAAUAAAAUACAGUUAGAAGAACAGGUACUUACAAUUUCAUCCGAAAUACCUAAACGAAUUCAAAGUGCCUUAGAAAAUGCAGAAGAGUCAAAGCAAUUCCUCAAUCAGUUUCUGGAGCAAGAAAUGCAUCUCUUGCACUCCAUCAACAGCCAUUUACUGGCCUCUCAGCCCUGGAUGGACGGGCUGGGGGCCAUGAUUAACCAAAUUGAAGAGAUUGAACGGCAUCUUGCUUACCUUAAGUGGAUUUCACAAAUUGAAGAACUAAGUGAUAACAUUCAGCAAUAUCUAAUGACCAAUAAUGUGCCAGAGGCAGCCUCUACUCUGGUGUCUAUGGCAGAACUUGACAUCAGGCUUAAGGAAUCAUCCUGUUCUCAUCUUCUUGGUUUCAUGAGAGCCACCGUUAAAUUCUGGCAUAAAAUUCUCAAGGACAAGCUUACAAGUGAUUUUGAAGAAGUUUUAGCGCAGCUUAAUUGGCCAUUCAUCGUACCCCCCCAGUCUCAAGCUGUUGGCUUAAAUCGACCUGCUAGUGCCCCUGAAACUUAUAGCAACCUGGAGACACUCUUCUGUCAGCUUCUGAAACUACAAACCUCAGAUGAAUUACUUACAGAGCCAAAACAACUCCCAGAGAAGUAUGCCCUUCCUGCCUCCCCUUCUAUCAUCCUGCCGAUCCAGAUCAUGCUGACACCACUUCAGAAGAGGUUUAGGUAUCACUUCAGAGGCAACCGGCAAACUAAUGUCAUGAGCAAGCCUGAAUGGUACUUGGCUCAGGUACUUAUGUGGAUUGGAAACCAUACUCAAUUCCUGGAUGAGAAGAUUCAGCCAAUAUUAGACAAAGCAGGCUGUUCAGUAAAUGCAAGGCUUGAAUUUUCACGGGGUCUGAUGAUGCUUGUUCUUGAGAAGUUAGCUGCCGACAUUCCUUGUCUGCUCUAUGAUGACAAUCUCUUCUGCCAUUUGGUGGAUGAAGUGCUCUUGUUUGAAAGGGAGCUACACAGUGUUCAUGGCUAUCCUGGCACCUUUGCUAACUGUAUGCAUAUUCUGUCAGAGGAAACCUGUUUUCAGAGGUGGUUGACUGUGGAGAGAAAAUUUGCUCUUCAAAAAAUGGACUCAAUGCUUUCAUCCGAAGCUGCCUGGGUAUCCCAAUAUAAGGAUAUCACUGAUGUAGAUGAAAUGAAAGUUCCAGACUGUGCAGAAACUUUUAUGACUCUACUCCUGGUUAUAACGGACAGGUAUAAAAAUCUUCCCAUGGCUUCCCGUAAGCUGGAGUUCUUGGAGUUACAGAAGGACUUAGUAGAUGAUUUUAGGAUACGGUUAACACAAGUGAUGAAAGAAGAGUCUAGAGCUUCCCUUGGCUUUCGAUACUGUGCGAUUCUUAAUGCUGUGAACUACAUCUCAACUGUACUGGCAGACUGGGCUGACAAUGUUUUCUUUCUACAACUGCAACAGGCAGCAUUGGAAGUCUUUGCAGAGAAUAACACUCUCAGUAAAUUGCAGCUGGGACAGCUUGCCUCUAUGGAGAGCUCUGUCUUUGAUGACAUGAUUAACCUCUUAGAGCGUCUGAAGCAUGAUAUGCUGACCCGUCAGGUAGACCAUGUUUUUAGAGAAGUUAAAGAUGCUGCAAAAUUGUAUAAAAAAGAAAGGUGGCUGUCUUUGCCCUCGCAGUCGGAGCAGGCGGUCAUGUCCCUGUCCAGUUCUGCCUGCCCGCUACUGCUUACGUUACGAGACCGCUUACUUCAGCUGGAGCAGCAGCUUUGUUUCUCCCUAUUCAAAAUUUUCUGGCAAAUGCUUGUAGAGAAGCUGGACGUAUACAUCUACCAAGAAUUUUCUUUGUUUCAGAUCAUUCUUGCUAAUCACUUCAAUGAAGGAGGAGCAGCCCAGUUGCAGUUUGAUAUGACCCGGAAUCUUUUCCCAUUGUUUUCUCACUAUUGCAAGAGACCAGAAAAUUAUUUUAAACAUGUCAAAGAAGCCUGUAUUGUUCUGAAUUUGAACAUUGGCUCCGCACUGCUCCUGAAAGAUGUGCUGCAGUCGGCCUCCGGACAGCUUCCUGCCACCGCGGCGUUAAAUGAACUUGGGAUUUACAAACUGGCUCAACAAGAUGUUGAGAUUCUACUUAACUUGAGGACAAACUGGCCCAACACUGGAAAAUAAUGUGUCUUCAGAAAAAAAAGUUUUUUAAAACAAAGAUGAAGCCUGUUGGCUUUCUAAUUAUAUGAUGAAGUUCUGAAUUAAUGAAACUGGACAACGGAAAACUUUACAGAAUCAUUAUUAUCAUGGAUUCAGGGUGUUAUUAAAAUGAUGACCAUACUUCCAGAGUCCUCUUGUUCCUAAGAAAACAAAAACAAAAACUCAUGAAAAAUCAGAAUAAUUCCACUUAUAAAUGCUGUGUGUGUCAUCGAGGAAAGCACAAGAGCAGAGAAAAUAAAUAAUAACCAACUUCAAUUUCCUUUGCUAAUUAAGAAAAACUGUUGUGAAUAAUCAAACACAACCAAUACAGUUUUCUUAAAAAAAAAAAAUCACUAUGUAAUGCACGUUUGUAAUUGAGGUUCCUGUAUCUACUUUGGGAAUUCAAUGUAUUGCCAUAGAAAACACAUAAGAACUGGGAAAUAAGGUAGGAUUAUUCUCGUUUUCCACAAAUGUCCUCCUUUUAAAAUACUUCCUAGUUCCAGCCUCCUUUACAGUAGCAUCCUGCUUUCUCUGGGUGGGACUCUGCCUCUGCCUUCCCCCGGGGGAGGGAAGAUAGCUAAACACUUUGGUUUAGUAUUUAUGUAGCUGAUGAUGGGAUGGAAAACUCAGCUUUCCUUUUGCUAACUUUUCCUUGGCCUUGGCUGUACUAAGUAAUGGUUUCUUGGUUCACAGAUGCUUGUGGAACCAGAUAGCAAGGUCUGCUUGGUACCCAUGUCCUUGGCUUUGCUUCAGGAAGGAAUUCAGGAGUGAGUCGGAGAUUAGCAAAGAGUGAGCAGUGAGCGUUUUCCUGAGAAAGAAAAGGUGCCCCCUGCACAGAGAAUGGCCUGCUUGGAGGAGCGUGGCCCUGUCUCUGAACUGUGUUUAACAACAGGUGGGGCAUUUCAUGAAAGGGAAGCUACAUUCAUGGUUUUCCUGGGAAGUAGGCGGAGAUUUUCUGGAACCUACCCACAACCCCUUUUCACUCUUUACAUGGUCUGAUACUUGCUGUCAUGGUGGCUAGCAGGUGAGCCAUUUAGCAUGCUAAGGAAUUAUAAUGAGUCCGUAGUGAACUGUAGUCAGUCUUGGCCAGCUUUGGCCUAAGCUGGGGUGAGCCUGGUCCAAGCAUGGGGUCUGUUUAUCUUCAGAGCAAGGGGAACCAAACCUAUAUCAGAACUGUUAUCUCCAGGUGGCUCUACUGCUUGCCUGUCUCAGAGCAAAAUUAAACAGACUGAGCUAGGUUUAGCUGGAGGCCUUCUACAACUAUCAAAUGUUAUUCCAGUGACUUUUUUGUUUUCUGACUUAGCAUUUACUUAGCACUAUUGCUCUAAUACCUCAAGUCCUAAAAUUUUCAGGCCACAAGUAACCUAUACUGUUGCUAAACAUUUACUUUGCAAUAAACAGUUCUGAAGAAAUAGUUUUGAGAUAAAUUCUGUGACUAUACAGAGAUUUCCCAACUAGUGUUGGGAAGGCCUUUUUGUUGGUUCUCUUAGCAGGCUGGGCAUCUGCACCUCAUUCUUGAGAAUUACUGAAGUUUCCCUCUGGGAAGAGGAGGACACGCCCCCUGGAACUUCCCGGCUCCUCUUCCCAGGCUCAGCGCCUGUACUGCCUGCCUUCCCUGUCCUCACUCUGCAGUCAGCCGAGUUCCAAGCCCUCUGCUAUGGCCUGGGAAAGCAGUAGAAGAUGGUCCAAGUCCUUGAGCCCCUGCACCCUCGUGGGAGACCCAGAAGAAGCUCCUGGCUCCUGGCUUCUGAUGGGCGCAGCUCCGGCCAUCGUGGCCAUCUGGAGAGUGAGCCAGUGGAUGGAGGACCUCUCUCUCCUUCUGUGUAACCCUGACUUUCAAAUAAAUAAAUCUUUAAAAAACAAAAC